GAAUUAUUAGAGGAUUAUUUUUUAUUUAAAAUCUGUUUAGGCGGGUCUCGAUGACAAGAUCUAAUGAUCUUCUGCGAGUAUCCGCGUUCUUCUUAUUUUAACGCUAACAAACUGUUGUACCGUUAAACUGAAGAUGGCAAUAAAGUUUAGAAAAUUUGUUAUGGCUGAUUUUUUUAAUAAAAAAACAACAAUAUGUGUGCCAUGAAUGUAAUCUGCUUUUCCUAGUGGAGUAAUGAAAGUUUGCUUCUAAAAGUAACAGAAAGGAGCCGAAAAUAAGAAUUUUUGUUUUAUUUUGGUAAUUAUCUUAUUAACAAUAUUUUCUUUGUUUUUGAUCUAAACAGCUAGAAUUAACUCAAAUAUAACAAAUGUUCAUUGUUUAGAAUGGUUUCAUUUCUUCUUUAUAUAUUUUUUGACAGUUAUGAGACUGUUUUAGCACGGAUAGAAAUGUUAGAGUUUACAUCAAGCGUUGAAACAGGUAAUGAUAGUGAUGAAAAAGAAUUAUCUAUGCCUCCAGCUUAAAAGUUUGCAGGUUACAAAAAAAGUGAUGCUAAUGAGACUGUCUAUCAGUUUCUCAAAGAUUGAAGAAACCUUUAAAGCAGUACUUUGUACAACUAAAUUUUUUAAUUUUUAAAAUAUACGAUACAUUGAAAUGAAACAUACAAACAAAUGAUACAAUAUGAUACAUUAUUAAUUAUAAUUAUGUUGUAUAUAAGAAUGUUUUUUCUAAAUGCGUAAUACAUUUAAUUGUGAUUUUUAUCUUUUAUGCUCAGUUAGAAAUGUAUUUUGUAUAGCAAUGACUACUAAUCUCACACAUCUAUGACAUCUGUAGGGUGUUUUGACAACAGCCUUUUGCUAUGGCGAAUACAAUCUUGGAGAAUUUUAUACUACUGUGAAAUUGUGGUCAAGGAUAAGAGAAGCUCACAAACCUGUAUAAAAUUCUGAAUGAUGAACUUCCUUGGUUCGGCUUAAGGAGACAAUUACAAAGAACUUACAGCGGCAACUUUAAUACAGCUAAUAGCCAAAGAAAUAUGUUUUUCAAUCUCAAUGUACGAAAGGAAGCAAAUACUUCCUGCUAGGUUGUCAUAGGUAUAGCACAAUAUUUGUAUUCUACAUCCCAUAUCUAUUUAUUAAACAAAUAUUUUAGUAAAAGCUAUUUAUUUUACGAUAUUUAUACGUGGAAAAAUAUAUAUAUAUAUAUAAAAUUUGUUGUGAUAUUAAAAAAACAUUA